rnacentral:rRNA from 1 species
ACAGGGAUUGCCUCAGUAACGGCGAGUGAAGCGGCAAUAGCUCAAAUUUGAAAUCUGGUGCCUUCGCGGGCUCCCGAGUUGUACUUUGCAGAGGGUGCUUUGGCGUUGGCUGCGGUCUAAGUUCCUUGGAACAGGACGUCGCGGAGGGUAAGAAUCCCGUAUGUGGCCGCCAGCCUCCGCCGUGUAAAGCCCCUUCGACGAGUCGAGUUGUUUGGGAAUGCAGCUCUAAAUGGGAGGUAAAUUCCUUCUAAAGCUAAAUACCGGCCAGAGACCGAUAGCGCACAAGUAGAGUGAUCGAAAGAUGAAAAGCACUUUGGAAAGAGAGUCAAAAAGCACGUGAAAUUGUUGAAAGGGAAGCGCUUGCAGCCAGACGUGCCCGCAGUCGCUCAUCCGGGCCCCGGCCCGGUGCACUCCUCUGCGGGCAGGCCAGCAUCAGUUUCGGCGGUCGGAUAAAGGCGCCUGUCACGUACCACCCCUCGGGAUGGCCUUACAGGGGGCGCGCAAUACGGCCUGCCGGGACUGAGGCACCGCGCAUCUGCUAGGAUGCUGGCGUAAUGGUGGCAAGCGGCCCGUCUUGAAACACGGACCAAGGAGUCUAACAUCUAUGCGAGUGUUUGGGCGUCAAGCCCCGGCGCGCAAUGAAAGUGAACGGAGGUGGGAGCCCUCGGGCGCACCAUCGACCGAUCCUGAUGUCUUCGGAUGGAUUUGAGUAAGAGCAUAGCUGUUGGGACCCGAAAGAUGGUGAACUAUGCUUGAAUAGGGUGAAGCCAGAGGAAACUCUGGUGGAAGCUCGCAGCGGUUCUGACGUGCAAAUCGAUCGUCAAAUUUGGGCAUAGGGGCGAAAGACUAAUCGAACCAUUGACGGAGGAAAGGGGGGAGUGUCGGGGGCAUACGCGCCCCAGGACCCUCCCUCGCUACUAGGUGGUUGAGAGGGCCCCCGCCGAGGGGGCCCUAGUCGCCCGCGUUCGCGGGGGGCUACGCCGUCAAAUUGCCGGGGACGCCCACGAGAGAGAGCCCAGCGCACCGCGGCCCCGCCGAAAGGCGAGGCGCAGCACCGGCCGUAAUGGGCCGGGGACGGUAACAGCGCUGAGGACGGGGCAAUCCGCAGCUGAGCCCUACGGCCCCCCUAGGGGCUAUGGGUGCAGUCCACAGACUAGAUGUCGGCGGGUGGUGCCAGCAGGCGCCGCUCAAGAUGUAGUCGAGCCCCGACCCGAGAGGGACGGGGGCUGUCGCCCGACAGCAGACGG